UCUAAAGCAAUGGCUUUUGAUCUGAUCUACAGUUUUUGUUCUAGACCUUGGUGACAUCACUCUCACCUUAAAGAAAAAGCUUCUGAGCUUCUUUUCACACUCUCACCUAAUUUAGCUCUCUUCUUCUUGAAUUUCAUUUUGCUCUUGUUCUUGCUCUCUGGUUUCUCUUUGUUUUAGUGUGAGGGUUUAGUAGUAGUGGUAGUAGUAGAUACUAGAGAGUCAGGGACACAGAGAGAAGAGAAAUGAGGGGUCCUCUGGGAGCAAUCAUAGGGAAGUACCCUUCAAGCGAUGGAAAUACUCAGACGGAUGGGAUCAUAAGACACAACAGAAAGUGCAGAGAUGUUGUGUUUCUCAUACUUUUCAUCGCUUUCUGGGUUGCAAUGAUCGUUAAUUCUAGUAUCGGAUUCAACCAGGGAGACCCAUUGAGGCUAACAUAUGGGCUGGACUACAAAGGAAAUGUUUGUGGGGACAAACAUGCAGAUCCUGGUCUUCGAGAGUUGGAGCUUAGGUACUGGGUAAAUCCCAACCAGGUUUAUGAAAGCGGCCUAAAAAAUGGCCAGUUCAAGCUGGCUGAUGCUAGGAGUAUCUGCUUGUUGGAUUGCCCCAUCCCAUCUGAAGACUCGCUCAACUGGGUCUGCGAUUAUCCAGAGGGAGAUAUUCAUCUUUCUAUGAAUGACUGGAUAGAUAGGAAUUAUGAUUAUUUUGAGUACCUUACACCAGAUAUGAGGAACAGCUCUCUUCAACUUCAAGGUCCAUGCUACCCUGUUAUAUUUCCAAGUGUGAAUGUUUUUUGGAGUUGCCAAAUUAUUGUACGUGCAUCGAACAUGUCUUUGCGACAUUGGCAGCAGAUGGGUGGUGUAAAUAUCAAUGAAGACAUUAUUAUUGAUAAGUCUAUACAUAAAACCAUCAAUUCUCGAUCAGCUGUCUUAAAGAGAUAUGUGGCUGAUAUUGGGAAGGCAUGGCCAGUUUUGAUUGUUUGUGGAGCAAUCGUGCCGCUGUUUUUGUCAGUGAUCUGGCUAUUGAUGAUUCGGCAUUUUGUUGCGGGAAUGACAUGGAUAACGGUUAUCUUCUUCAAUGUUCUCAUAAUAUCAGUCACAAUAUUUUACUACUUGAAAGCUGGCUGGAUUGGCAAUGAUGCCAUCUCCCCCGUCAUUGGUGAGAGUGAUCCAUACUAUCAUGUUUCCGCGAGGGAGCAAAAUCACCUUCGUGCUGUUUCUGUUCUUAUGACCAUCGUAAUGGGUAUUGCUAUUCUUUCAUCACUUGCCAUUGUCAGACGCAUCCUUAUGGCAACAUCUGUCCUGAAGGUUGCUGCGAAGGUCAUUGGAGAAGUUCAGGCUCUCAUAAUAUUUCCUGUUAUACCAUAUACUAUCCUUUUGAUAGUUUACAUGUUCUGGUUUUCGGCGGCUUUCCAUCUGUUCAGCUCUGGCCAGAUUGUUCAGAAUGACUGCAAGUCCAAGUAUUGUGCUUAUGAUCUUGCCUCUAAGCAAGUGAGCUGUGGUCACUGUGGUUAUAGCAUCCAUUACACUCCUCAUAUUGCAAUUGCCAUCCUUUUCCACCUAUUUGGCUGUUAUUGGGCCACACAGUUUUUUAUUGCAUGUUCCUCAACUGUGAUUGCGGGAUCUGUUGCUUCUUAUUAUUGGGCUCGUGGUGAAAUCUCGCCAGAGAUUCCAUUUCUUCCUGUGUUUUCAUCAAUGAAGCGGCUCAUGCGGUACAGCCUAGGUUCUGUGGCCAUUGGUUCUCUGGUUGUAUCAUUUGUUGAAUCAGUCCGCUACAUACUUGAGUUCUUCCGCCGGAAGUUGAAAGUUUCAAAUACCACACCUGAAAGCAGUAUUGGCAAGGUUGGCUUUCAUUCUUCUCAGUGCUGUCGUGGAUGUAUUGACUGGACUGUGAAGUCUGUGAACCGCAAUGCCUACAUAAUGAUUGCCAUAAUGGGUAAAGGAUUUUUUAGAGCUUCUUCAAUUGCAACAGGUUUGAUCAUGAAUAACAUUCUUCGAAUUGGUAGGGUGAAUGUGAUCGGGGAUGUGAUUCUCUUUCUUGGGAAGUUGUGUGUCAGCCUCUCCAGUGCUGUGUUUGCAUUUCUCAUGUUAGACGCUCAUAAAUAUAGAUCUGCCCACAACAAGAUAUCCUCUCCACUGUUCCCUGUUCUGGUUUGUUGGUGGCUUGGCUAUGUUGUUGCGACUCUAUUCUUUGCGGUAGUGGAGAUGUCAAUUGACACCAUCAUCCUGUCUUUCUGCCAAGAUUCUGAGGAGCAUCAAGGGAACGCGCAGUAUGCCCCUCCUCUCCUGAUGGAGACCCUGAAUGACCAAAAUGAGAUGCAGAGACUCACUCAAGGAUCUUCCUGAGCUGUGCUGUGUAUGUCCUUCCUACAUUUGUUGAAAUCAGGAAGCAAAAAGCUUCAUAUAUUACCAGUUCUGCUGAUGUCAUCAGGUUGGCUACAUGGCCUCAGUUGUUUGCCAGAUGACUUCCACCUACUACUUGCCUCCCUUGGGAAGAUCCUUUGAUGGUACUGGAUUUAUGAUGUGGGUGCUCUCCGGCAUCUACAUUUACUAUUCAAGAUCAGUGUUACAUUUAAUUUUUCUAUUCUUGUUGGUCCAAGCUAGAUGUUUUCUCUUGUUAUAUGUGUACUCCAGCUUGAGGGGGAGUGUUGAAAUUGAGUCACGAGUUGGGGGAUUGUCCCAACUAUGAUUUAGUUAAUUACCUUCAUUUUUAGUUUCUCAUUUCCUAGUAAGGUUAAAUUUUUAUUUCCUAACUAGAGUACGUUUCUAUCUAUUCUCUUGUCGUACGAGGUACUAGUUACCUCAUUAUAUUGUGACUCAUUGACUAAUAUAUAUUGACGGUAGUAUAUAGAAUUAGUUGCCCUCUUCUCGGUAGGCUUACCUUCUU